CCUACGGGAGGCAGCAGUGAGGAAUAUUCGUCAAUGGACGAAAGUCUGAACCAGCAAAGUCGCGUGAAGGAUGACUGCCCUAUGGUUUGUAAACUUCUUUUAUAAAGGAAUAAAAGGAGGCACGUGUGCCUUUUUGCAUGUACUUUAUGAAUAAGAAUCGGCUAACUCCGUGCCAGCAGCCGCGGUAAUACGGAGGAUCCGAGCGUUAUCCGGAUUUAUUGGGUUUAAAGGGAGCGUAGAUGGGUUGUUAUGUCAGUUGUGAAAGUUUGCGGCUCAACCGUAAAAUUGCAAUUGAUACUGGCAGUCUUGAGUACAGUUGAGGUAGGCGGAAUUCGUGGUGUAGCGGUGAAAUGCUUAGAUAUCACGAAGAACCCCGAUUGCGAAGGCAGCUUACUAAACUGUGACUGACAUUGAUGCUCGAAAGUGUGGGGAUCAAACAGGAUUAGAUACCCGAGUAGUC
rnacentral:rRNA from 1 species